GAUGAAGAACGCAGCGAAAUGCGAUAAGUAAUGUGAAUUGCAGAAUUCAGUGAAUCAUCGAAUCUUUGAACGCACAUUGCGCCCGCCAGUAUUCUGGCGGGCAUGCCUGUUCGAGCGUCAUUUCAACCCUCAAGCCCAGCUUGGUGUUGGGGAUCGGCACAGGCGCCCUCGGGCGCCCGCCGUCCCCUAAAUCUAGUGGCGGUCCCGCUGCAGCCUCCUCUGCGUAGUAGUUUUCUCCUCGCAAGGGCAGCUCGGUGGCGACCUCGCCGUAAAACCCCCAACUUCUGAAAGGUUGACCUCGAAUCAGGUAGGAAUACCCGCUGAACUUAAGCAUAACAAUAAGCGGAGGA
rnacentral:misc_RNA from 1 species